ncrna:Taeniopygia guttata (zebra finch) microRNA tgu-mir-551 precursor
GAAAUCAAGGGUGGGUAAGACCUGGUGAGCAAACUCUAAGGCGACCCAUACUUGGUUUCAGGGGCUG